UAGGGAAUCUUCCGCAAUGGACGAAAGUCUGACGGAGCAACGCCGCGUGAGUGAAGAAGGAUUUCGGUUCGUAAAACUCUGUUGUUAGGGAAGAAAAAAUGUAUAGUAACUAUAUACAAAAGAGACGGUACCUAACCAGAAAGCCACGGCUAACUACGUGCCAGCAGCCGCGGUAAUACGUAGGUGGCAAGCGUUGUCCGGAAUUAUUGGGCGUAAAGCGCGCGCAGGUGGUUUAGAAAGUCUGAUGUGAAAGCCCACGGCUCAACCGUGGAGGGUCAUUGGAAACUAAUAAACUUGAGUGCAGGAGAGAAAAGUGGAAUUCCUAGUGUAGCGGUGAAAUGCGUAGAGAUUAGGGGGAACACCGGUGGCGAAAGCGGCUUUUUGGCCUGCAACUGACACUGAGGCGCGAAAGCGUGGGGAGCAAACAGG
rnacentral:rRNA from 1 species